UCUUAAGAAGCUGACCUACUACUGGGGCACUUGGGUCUUUCUUGGGAUAUAUGUCCUUGGAUUCAUAAUUGCUGUGAUAAAGAAGAGAAAGUCAUCAAUCGAUGGGGAAAUUGACGAGGAUGACUUUGAUGAAAGUGAUGAUGAAGACCUGCUUCGGGGCUAGACACAAUGUGUUUUAGAAUACGAUUUGGUUCAACUGAUGUAUGUAUUAAGGUUCCAUCUUCAAUGUACAGUAUGCACGAAAAAGAAAGAUGCACAGUUUGGGAUCUAUAUCACUGCUUAUGUUUUGAUUCAAAUCAGUUUGUGUCUUUCAUUAGUUGAACGAAGAAUUUUAAGAAAUAUAUUUGGUAAUGUUUCUAAAAAAUAUAUUCGAGCACAAAAACAAAUUAGGAUUGUAGUGUGUAUAUAUGUGACGUGUAUUUAUUUAUAUUUGCUCUAACUUUUGUUUAUGUCCUCAUUGAUAUGAUUCAAUGUACUUUGUAAUGACUAAUGACUAAAGAUAGUUACACUCUUUCUAUCGCACUCAUGACUGAGAGAUUCUUAAUAUCAUUAGACCUUCUCUUUGGCUAAGAUGUUUCAGUUUAAGAGACUCAUCAGUGUGCGGCUCAAACAUUGCCAAACUCUUAUAGAAUUUUAACUGUCAUAUUUAAGUUUAUAAAAUUACUGUCAUGGGUGCAUAGGGUUGUUUCUGUUUUGUAUGAGUACAACAUAUUCCUCCGUCGUGUUCAUUCCUGUCUUAAUGUGGGUUGGUUGGUUAACCGAGUGGUUAAAGCAUUGGCUCGUCACACCGAAGACCCGGGUUCGAUUCCCCACAUGGGUACAAUGUGUGAGCCCCAUUUCUGGUGUCCCCCGCCAUGAUAUUGCUGGAAUAUUGCUGAAAGCGGCGUAAACUAAACUAAACUCACUCACUCACUCACUCACUCACUCUCUUAAUGUUGGUCUUUAGAAGGUCCAAAGAACCCAAUAGGAUCGGGUGGUUUGGCUUGGUUAUUUGGUUGUAUCCAGUGACUUGGUCAUUGUAUCCCAAUUGUAUAGAUAGAUGCUCAUCAUGUCAAUCACUUGAUUAUCUGGUCCAUACUCAAUUAUUGUAAAUAUUGUGGUCAUAACUGGAAAUAUUGCUGAGUGCGGCAAAAAAACAAACU